rnacentral:tRNA from 1 species
UUUUUCUUGGUGUUUGAGCACACAAAGCUUUGACCUUUGAGGAGGGGGUGAAAUUCAGGCAAUG